UAUGUUAUGAAAUUCUGCACGGAUGCAAGCCGCCAAAUGAUGUUUCUGUUCCUGUCUCCCGCUGAUACGCGGAGGAGCUGACUUAAUUUUCACACUAAUCGUGUGUCACACACACGACCUAUUGUGUUUUUUUGUUGAGUCUUGAUUACGUAAAGAAUUUGAGAAAUUAAGGUCCUGUUUAGAAUGAAACUCUUAAAACAAUUUUCUAUCUUGGGAGUUACAAAAAACUGUUCUUCAAAUUUUUAGUCUACUUGAAACCUGUUUUUACAAAACUGAGUUGGCUGAGUAUCAGUUUUAUGAGAACAACUUAAAGCUGUUCUGUCAGUUUUGAGAAUACAUUAUCACUUUGUUAGAAAACACGGAGAACAAUUCCUCACAUAAAAAGAACGGAACCCUUGCUCGUUUAAAACCCUCUCUAGACUUUCUCUCUCUACCUUAUCUUCAACAACAUAUUCUGAACUAGCCUCUCUAUCUUACGCUUCUCUACCUUAUCUUCAACAUCUUCUCACUUCGAUCAAAAAUCUUGUUUGGUGGUCGUCGAUCGAUCCUUGCCUCUUAAAGAUUUUUUUUGGCACUUUUUUGAAAAUAUGAGAAACCUCUCAUCUCUCAUCGAUCUUGUUUCACCCUACUUUUCUCUCAAUCAUCGAUCUUGUUUCACCCUACUUUUCUCUCAAUCAUCGAUCUUGUUUCACCCUACUUAUUCUCAAAUUGUCGCUGGAUAUGGAUGCUCAAUCCAUGAGUGGUGGUAUUGGGAGCCUUCUAAUCUGUACAAUUUUUGCUUCCGUACAAUGUUCCCUUCUCUUAAAACAUACUACGUAUAAUAUAAUCACUGGCCUUGCUAUAUCUAUAUAUAGCUCUGAAUUUUAUUUUUUUAAUUUUAUUGUCGAUUUUAUUGGGCUGGGUUUGCUUUUGUUGGAUUUGGUUGCGGCCGGAUUCGGAUUUUCUUAGUUCUAUUUUUUUAAGAUGUGCCUUCUUUGAUUGUGAACAGAGAGCUCCUUUGCCUAGUGAAAAGAGGAUUCUAAGGGAACUUGAUGUAACAAAUAGUUGUUGACAAAUUUUUGUUUUCUAAAAACUUCUAUAAUUUUUUUCUACAUUAUGGAUUGUUUCUGCUUUCUAUUUGAUUUUUUCUCUUCUUGUAAUUUCUAUUUGUUUUUUGGAAAAGAAAAAUUAUAUAUAUAUAUAUAUAUAUAUAUAUAUAUAUAUAUAUAUAUAUAUAUUUGUUGAUUUGAUCUUUUUCCACUGAAAUUAACCCUAAUUACAUCUUUAAUUAUUAAACUUUUAAUUAUUAUUCUAAGUAUAAACAUUCAUCAUAUUCCAAGAUUAUGAUUAUUAGUAUAAUCUAAUUUUUUUUUUUUUUUUCCGCUUUGUUUGUUGAAUAAAUCUUACCUUCAUGAGAUUUUUUUUUUUGGUAAUAGUAUUGACAUCGUCAAAGAUUUAAAAUAUAAGUAUAUAAAUAAAUAAAUAAAUAUAUAUAUAUAUAUAUAUAGCGUACAAGGCAAAAUAAAUGUUUUAUUAUAUUUUUUCUUCUUAAGUUCAAAAAACUAUUUUUAAACAACCAAAUAGUUUUUUGAUUUUUUGUUUUUUGAAAACUGUUUUGAAAAUUUUUCUACCAAUCAGAUUUUUAAACUCAAAAAAUUGUUUUCAAUUUUCUGUUCUCAUUCUCUAAAAACUGAUUUUGGAAAUUUUUCUUAACACUACAUUCCAAGCAAGGCCUAAUAGUUUCUAUGUCUUGGCUAUUGGCACGCUUGAACCGAUUCAUGCUGUUAUUUGCAUUUCAAGCAUAACACGACCAACCUGGUCUGGUCAAUUCAUGCAAGUUUGGAAUUUGGAUGAUCUUCAAUGAAGUUAAUUUUGGGUUUGGUCCGCCCCGCUGUGAGGGGUGAGUCUAGAACAUGCCCACGUGCGUAAUUCAAUUAACAAAAGCAAGGGAUCUGUUAUCUCAUCCAAGAGCCGUCGUGAAAACACAGAACAGUAAGCUAGCUUGUUCACGGCUGUGAAGGGAGAUAAAGGUAGAAAGAAACUUCAAGUGGAGAUUUCAGGCAAAGAGCUCUGCAUAUCUACUGGAUUUGAUCAUUGGUAUUGUCUCUCCAAAUGAGUCGAUUUGGGUCAUCAUCUUUUUCACAUUUGGUGAAAUCUAAAUAUGAAAUUCACCAUUAUUGGUGAAGAUAUUAUUGUGGUGAGCCAAGAGUAUGUUACUCUCAAUGAUUAUAUUCCUCUAAUGGUACUAGAGAAGAAACAUUGUGUACCCCCUUUAUUGUUACACAUUGGAAGUUGAAAUCGGACGACAGCCCUCGUAAUUUUUUUUUCCCUCGUGGAAUAUCUUAAUGUCACUUUGUGUAUGAUUAUCAUUGCUUAUACUUAAUUGAUUAUGUAAUGAUCCUGAUUUUUCCUAUUUUUUAUUUUUUGAAAUGUUUUUUAUUUUUCGGUGUUA